rnacentral:rRNA from 1 species
AGAUGUUGGGUUAAGUCCCGCAACGAGCGCAACCCUUGUCCUGUGUUGCCAUACCGAAAGGUGGAACUCGCAGGAGACCGCCAGCGAUAAGCUGGAGGAAGGUGGGGAUGACGUCAAGUCCUCAUGGCCUUUAUGUCCAGGGCUACACACGUGCUACAAUGGCCGGUACAAAGCGCAGCUAAGUCGCAAGACGGAGCCAAUCGCAGAAAACCGGUCUCAGUUCGGAUUGCAGGCUGCAACUCGCCUGCAUGAAGCUGGAAUCGCUAGUAAUGGCGGAUCAGAACGCCGCCGUGAAUACGUUCCCGGGCCUUGUACACACCGCCCGUCACAUCACGAAAGUGGGUUGUACUAGAAGUCUGCAGGCCGACCCGCAAGGGGGGCAGCGGCCCAAGGUAUGACUCAUGAUUGGGGUGAAGUCGUAACAAGGUAA